rnacentral:rRNA from 1 species
CACGUAGGGUGCGAGCGUUGUCCGGAAUUAUUGGGCGUAAAGAGCUCGUAGGCGGUGUGUCGCGUCGGCCGUGAAAACCUGCAGCUUAACUGUGGGCGUGCGGUCGAUACGGGCAUCACUGGAGUUCGGCAGGGGAGACUGGAAUUCCUGGUGUAGCGGUGAAAUGCGCAGAUAUCGAGAGGAACACCUGCGGCGAAGGCGGGUUGCUGGGCUGAUACUGACGCUGAGGCGCGAAAGCCAGGGGAGCGAACGGG